UACGUAGGGUGCGAGCGUUAAUCGGAAUUACUGGGCGUAAAGUGUGCGCAGGCGGCCGAGCAAGUCGAGUGUGAAAGCCCCGAGCUUAACUUGGGAACUACGCUCGAAACUACUUGGCUAGAGUGUGGCAGAGGGAGGUGGAAUUCCACGUGUAGCGGUGAAAUGCGUAGAGAUGUGGAGGAACACCGAUGGCGAAGGCAGCCUCCUGGGCCAACACUGACGCUCAUGCACGAAAGCGUGGGGAGCAAACAGG
rnacentral:rRNA from 1 species